GACGAACGCUGGCGGCGUGCCUAAUACAUGCAAGUCGAGCGGAUCUUCAUUAGCUUGCUUUUGAAGAUCAGCGGCGGACGGGUGAGUAACACGUGGGCAACCUGCCUGUAAGACUGGGAUAACUUCGGGAAACCGGAGCUAAUACCGGAUAAUCCUUUUCCUCCCAUGAGGAAAAGCUGAAAGACGGUUUCGGCUGUCACUUACAGAUGGGCCCGCGGCGCAUUAGCUAGUUGGUGAGGUAACGGCUCACCAAGGCGACGAUGCGUAGCCGACCUGAGAGGGUGAUCGGCCACACUGGGACUGAGACACGGCCCAGACUCCUACGGGAGGCAGCAGUAGGGAAUCUUCCGCAAUGGACGAAAGUCUGACGGAGCAACGCCGCGUGAGCGAUGAAGGCCUUCGGGUCGUAAAGCUCUGUUGUCAGGGAAGAACAAGUAUCGGAGUAACUGCCGGUACCUUGACGGUACCUGACCAGAAAGCCACGGCUAACUACGUGCCAGCCGCCGCGGUAACAC
rnacentral:rRNA from 1 species